CUCGGGAACCCUGGGGCUUGUAUCCACUCAGGAAUCAUGGGACCCUCCUUUCAGGCGGUGCCCGAGCUUGCUUUGGUCCAGACAUGUGGCUCGGAAACACAAGUGAGCCAGGAAGAAGAGGACUCCGACCAGUCCCAUUAAAUACUAAAAUGAAUGGGCAGAUGACAGAAAUGUAAUCUGAGGGUUGCAAGAUUUACGAGGAGGCAGCGCGCUCAGCAAAGUGGUGAUGAUUCCGGAGGACGAGGCGGAGACAGGAGACCCCACAACAGCGGUUUUCCUGGACCUGUGGCUUUGGAAGUGAAGGGGGCAAGGAGAAGAGACUGCUCACCAGGGAGCUUUGGGCCCACACCCUGUUCACGCUUACUGGUUAGGACAGCCGCAAGAAAGAACUAGAAUCAGGCACUCAGUCCAAGCGCAUCAGCAUCUACCAGGAACCAGGCACCCUGCAACGCUCACACGGAGCGCGGCGCAGGGGAGGGUGCGCACCAGUCAGUCCCCCCGCCCUGGAGCUGUGCGCGCCACGUGCCGCGCGGUACCCGGAAAACAGGCGACCCCAGGGCGACGGCGGGAAACAAACCCACACACAUCCAUAUGAUUUGGGAUCGGUCCUAUGAGAAGCGCA